rnacentral:lncRNA from 1 species
CUAAAUGUGAAAGUCUGUAAAAAAGGAUGUUGUCUGAUUCUCUGAAAGAGAAAUGUCCUGAGAUCUGAUUAGGAUACGGACCAGUUGGGCUUUAUGAGAAUUUAGCUGGCAAGUGACGGGCUUUUAUGGCAAUGGCUGGAGGGAAGAGAACAAGACGGUCUCAUGCUUCUGCCCCAUCACUAGAAAACAGGAGAAGACCUGAAGACAACCAGCUGUAAUACAAAGCCUGGAAGGACAAGUGCUGAGACAGCAGGGGCGGGGGCACGAGGAGGGAUGUUUUCAAUCUCCUUCCUGUCCAUGUGGAUAUGACUUGGAGAAUUGUCUAAACUGGACCAAAAGGCUACCACAAAAACUAAUGAAAUGUCAGGCACGAAACUCUGAAGAAUGAGGUCAGCUCUGGGAAGCAGAUGUGAAAAAUAUAUGUGGUCAAAGGCUGGAGGCACAAAGGUAGGAAAAUAUGAAGGAAAUUCCCAGGGCAAUUGGUGGGCCAUUUUGGAUCUUGGGAUCACUGAGGCAGGAGAGAAGAGACUGCAAAUUAGGUUGAGCUCACAGUAAAGAACACUUUCAAUGCUAGACUAAGAAACGGAGCUUUGCACUUGGUAACUGUUCCCAAACAUGGGAUCAUCUUAGCUUAAUGUCUUCCUCUUUCAUAGGAUGACAUUCAGAUCACACCACAUAAGCCACGUGAGCAGCCAAAGAAAUUUGUGCAAGACCCAAAACAUGUGAAGUACAGGCUAGGUCCUGGGGAGGGGAGCUGUGGAAGAAGAAAUUCAGA